rnacentral:miRNA from 2 species
UUUAACUAAUGAACCGGCACCUAU